UCCUCUCUUAAAGUCCUCCAUGAGACUUUAAAGAUCUCCUCCUCCAUCCCAUGUCCCUUAUUUGACACACAAGUCGCAGAAUAUUUCCAUCAUGCUUGAUCCCUUCACGCGAACAAUACUACCUUAGACGAGGAGGAACAAGAAAGUACAAACAACCUAGAGUUGACAACUCUAUGAUUUAUACCUUAUGUUCCCUCCUCCCUUACUCACCAAGUCCUUCAAGACCUUCGAAGCAUUUUUGCCCAAGCAAUUUGUAGAAUAAUAUGGCUUUCUUCAUAGAGAACACUUCAUACU
rnacentral:lncRNA from 1 species